rnacentral:rRNA from 1 species
GACGUAGGGCGCGAGCGUUGUCCGGAUUUAUUGGGCGUAAAGAGCUCGUAGGCGGCUUGUUACGUCGUUCGUGAAAACUUGGGGCUCAACCCCAAGCUUGCGGUCGAUACGGGCAGGCUAGAGUUCGGUAGGGGAGACUGGAAUUCCUGGUGUAGCGGUGAAAUGCGCAGAUAUCAGGAGGAACACCAAUAGCGAAGGCAGCUCGCUGGGACGUUACUGACACUGAGGCGCGAAAGCGUGGGGAGCGAACAGG